UGAAUUAACAGCAAAGGAAAAGUAGAUUAUAUUUAUGAAAAAGGAAAGUUCAGGUAAGAAAGAAGGUAAGGAAAUAAAGAAGAAGAUAGAAAUUGAGAAGUAAAGAAAUUUAUGAUGUUAGAUGAUAUUAUGCAUAAUUAUCCAUUAUGUUGAAUGUUGUGAUUUAUUUGCUUGUAAGUUACAGUAAAUAAAUGCAAUAUUAUUUUAUUUUACAUUAUUAUUUUCAAUUUCCAGCAUUUAUAUAUUUAUGUUAUGAAAAUAUUUAAA